rnacentral:rRNA from 1 species
GGCAGUGGGGAAUAUUGGACAAUGGGGGGAACCCUGAUCCAGCCAUGCCGCGUGUGUGAAGAAGGCCUUAUGGUUGUAAAGCACUUUAAGCGAGGAGGAGGCUACUUUAGUUAAUACCUAGAGAUAGUGGACGUACUCGCAGAAUAGC